AUUGAACGCUGGCGGCAUGCCUUACACAUGCAAGUCGAACGGUAACAGGUCUUCGGAUGCUGACGAGUGGCGAACGGGUGAGUAAUACAUCGGAACGUGCCCGAUCGUGGGGGAUAACGCAGCGAAAGCUGUGCUAAUACCGCAUACGAUCUACGGAUGAAAGCGGGGGAUGGCAAGACCUCGCGCGGAGGGAGCGGCCGAUGGCAGAUUAGGUAGUUGGUGGGAUAAAAGCUUACCAAGCCGACGAUCUGCAGCUGGUCUGAGAGGACGACCCGCCACACUGGGACUGAGACACGGCCCAGACUCCUACGGGAGGCAGCAGUGGGGAAUUUUGGACAAUGGGCGCAAGCCUGAUCCAGCCAUGCCGCGUGCAGGAUGAAGGCCUUCGGGUUGUAAACUGCUUUUGUACGGAACGAAAAAGCUCUCUCUAAUACAGGGGGUGAAUGACGGUACCGUAAGAAUAAGCACCGGCUAACUACGUG
rnacentral:rRNA from 1 species